AACCCUAAAUCUGAAGCUCUUUGUAAACCCUAACAUAGUUCAUCGCUGCUUUCGUUCUUCUCCAUCUCUGUGUUUUCUCUUAUCCAUUGAAGCCACUUAUUCGAUUCUUUGAGCCGUAGGAGACGUAUCAAGCGGAUCUGCCGAUUGAUCUGAAGAAGCAUCAUGUUCCGAAGACGUUUUUGGAUAAGUUUGCGUACUGGACUGUUAAGUAGCUCCGAUUGCCUACUGAUGUUUUCUUACAGUUGGUGGCGUAUGCAUGAAUUCUGGAGUAUAAGUGAUGGAAAAGUCUCUUUUGCAUCAUUGGCAAAGUUCUAUUUGACAGGUAUUAUCAAGUCAUCUGCCGUUGGGCUUACGGCUUCUGUCAUUCGUGAUAAUAGCACUCGUGAGUUCUAUUUGGAAGGAGGAGCCAUGGUGUUGGCUGAUGGUGGUGUUGUCUGCAUAGAUGAGUUUGACAAAAUGAGACCAGAACACAGGAGACUAAGGUUCCUAUUAAAGCCCUAAACUACUCAACAUUUCAGGCCAAAGGGAUUGGAUAUGCCAUGAGUAUGAUGAGGAGCUGAAAUUUGUCAAGCAUAUUGCUGAAACCACGAGUGUGAUCCCGGAUCUUUAUAGGAUGCAACUUUAGGAUCUGUGUAAGAGUGGUUUCUUGAAGCUCUCGAACUAUACCUAAUCACUUAAUCACUGAUAUUAAUAGCGUUGGAUUUGGAAAUCCAUUAUCAAGAGGAAUGAUGUGCUAUGAUAUAUGUUGCUUGAAGCCAAUUGAAAGGGAAUAUGGAUGAAUAUAGUAGGAGCUCAGGGAGACAAUCAUCACGGCCGAUUUUAAAAUCCGUAUUAUCUGGUAAAUCGACGCCCAGAGGUUCUCCAUCGUUUAGAAGAUUACGCUCGAGUCGGACUCCUAGAAGAGAUGUGAGGAGCAAUGGAUUUAAUACUGAUUCUUUCAGAAGCAACAUGAUAUUCUGUAGCCAUACCCUUGGAGCUCUGGACAAUUCAUAUUCAAAAAUUGAGUAGAUAGGUUUUUGAAGUACACCAUUUCCAGGGUUUAUUUGAAAUUCUUUACAUGUUGGGCGCAUUUAUGUCAAAUAACAAUGCUGGAGCAAAAAGUAUGUCUGGUGGGAGGAGCUUUACUUUGGUAGGUCCUAAACAAGUUUGGUGGAGGUCUUGCUGGUACAUUGUUAGUUGCUGGUGACAUCCAGAUUAAAUGGAAACCAAAACUGAUGAUUAUUGCCGGUUUCGCCAAUGAGUACUUUUACCCAGGUUUAGGGAUGUUCCAUUUUUCGUGGAUUUUCUUUAUUGUGUCUAUUUGGUUGUUGUAUUGCAAAUCAUUGAUUAGGGUUUGUGUUUGUUGUUAGCCGUUUCUUACGGAGGAUUUGGCGCAAUGCCUUAUUGCAAAUCAUUUAAAGGGGGCACAAUAAUCUUGGUGUGUGAGUUUUUUGGAGUCAAAAUCAUGGUAUCAUUAAUGCAUUUAUAUUUUGUCAACAAAUCUGGAAUCGCUUAUUCUUUAAAGUUUGAGUGUUUUUUCUUAUAUAGAUGAAAAUUAAAAGUAUGGAUGUGCUUUUUAAGUUAACAUUUAAUUUGUUCUAUUUGAGGUGCCUAUGGGUUUUCUAAGUGUUUGUUAAGCAUUCCAUCUAACCUUUAUAUUCUUAGUUUUUAUUUGCUUAUUUCUUUUGAUUUUCCACUUGAAUAUGUUGAUGAUUCAAGGACCAGAUGGGCGCUCUUGCAAUCGAUAUUGAAUCCGAUACAGCUGUCCCAGAACUCCCCAAUUGGCCUCUGGCACAGCUCGAAAUCUCCAGCGAUGAAAUGAAAAAGUUCUAAAAAGGAAUUUUCUGUCUGUUUUCUUCACAACACUCUGUCAUGAAUGGUCGGACAUCAAUGUGCUCAGGCAGAAUGAAUACCUGGAAUAAAUGCGCACAACAGUCAAGAAGAAGAUGUUAGGAAGCAACUUAACAAAGGGUUUAUCCCACAUUGGAUAGAUGUUCGUUGUUUAGCAGCCUUGAUUAAGGUAGUAAGAUGUGCGUGAAGAACGAUCACAUGAAAAAAAAAACGCUUUUUGGAUGGUUGUAGCCUAGGAAUACUAUGCAGCCGAAAUAAGAGCACUUGAUAAGGCGGUGGAGGGCCCUUAAUCGAUGGUGGUGGUGGCUGCAGCUAUUGGUAGAAUUAAGCAGGUUUUGAAGAGAUAGUAUCAUGAAGUGCUUAGUGACAAUUAAAUUCAUGGGGAAUGUUGCAAAACUGAGUAUGAAGAUGAUGGGGUUUAGUAUGGUCUAUUGAUGAGUCUAAACACAACUGAAAACUAAUGAGAGUGAUGUUGAAGAAGGAGUUGGGUUUCAUGGUGCUGUUGAUAAGUUGGAUCUACCGGAUUAUUCUCUCCUAAUGGAUAUAGAUCAUGGAAAGUUUGAUGUUGAUGUCAAUACCCAUUUCAAAGGUAUUUUAUAUAUCGCUCUCCACAUUAUCCAACAGCUCAUGAAUAGGACUGCAUACAAGGCCUUUCUUUUUUGUUUGUUCUCCACUCCGUAUUUAUGUAUUUUAAUGAGGUUCUUGAAGGAAAAAACAUAGAUUGCAAGUAUUCCACACUAAUGUGAUAUUGUCGGCCAUUUGGUGUUUUCCACCUUGCAUUGAAUGAAUAGAUAUCCCGCAUCUUCUGGUUCGUUGCUGCACAUUCUGCACAUGAUGGACCAGACUUCAACCCCUUUUUUAUUUCUUAUUGAUAUGUCACUAUCUCUUCUGAAGAGGCGAGUGUGAUUGUCUGUAGAAUUUGUG